rnacentral:rRNA from 1 species
CGAAAACCUAGUCCCAGUUCGGACUGGAGUCUGCAACCCGACUCCACGAAGUUGGAUUCGCUAGUAAUCGCGCAUCAGCCAUGGCGCGGUGAAUACGUUCCCGGGCCUUGUACACACCGCCCGUCAAGCCAUGGGAGCCGGGGGCGCCUGAAGUCCGGGACCGCGAGGACCGGCCUAAGGCGAAACUGGUGACUGGGGCUAAGUCGUAACAAGGUACC